UACGGAGGGAGCUAGCGUUGUUCGGAAUUACUGGGCGUAAAGCGCACGUAGGCGGCCAUUCAAGUCAGAGGUGAAAGCCUGGAGCUCAACUCCAGAACUGCCUUUGAAACUAGAUGGCUUGAAUCCAGGAGAGGUGAGUGGAAUUCCGAGUGUAGAGGUGAAAUUCGUAGAUAUUCGGAAGAACACCAGUGGCGAAGGCGGCUCACUGGACUGGUAUUGACGCUGAGGUGCGAAAGCGUGGGGAGCAAACAGG
rnacentral:rRNA from 1 species